rnacentral:rRNA from 1 species
UACGUAGGGCGCAAGCGUUGUCCGGAAUUAUUGGGCGUAAAGAGCUCGUAGGCGGUCUGUCGCGUCGGCUGUGAAAACCCGAGGCUCAACCUCGGGCCUGCAGUCGAUACGGGCAGACUAGAGUGCUGUAGGGGAGACUGGAAUUCCUGGUGUAGCGGUGAAAUGCGCAGAUAUCAGGAGGAACACCGGUGGCGAAGGCGGUUCUCUGGGCCUGUACUGACGCUGAGGAGCGAAAGCGUGGGGAGCAAACAGG